GAUGAACGCUGGCGGCGUGCUUAACACAUGCAAGUCGAACGAGAAGUGAAGACGGAAACCUUCGGGCGGAAGGCUUUAUUUCGAGUGGCGGACGGGUGAGUAACGCGUGGGUAACCUGCCUCAUACAGGGGGAUAACAGUUGGAAACGACUGUUAAUACCGCAUAAGACCACAGCACCGCAUGGUGCGGGGGUAAAAACUCCGGUGGUAUGAGAUGGACCCGCGUUCGAUUAGCCAGUUGGCGGGGUAACGGCCCACCAAAGCGACGAUCGAUAGCCGAUCUGAGAGGAAGACCGGCCACAUUGGGACUGAGACACGGCCCAAACUCCUACGGGAGGCAGCAGUGGGGAAUAUUGCACAAUGGGGGGAACCCUGAUGCAGCGACGCCGCGUGAGUGAAGAAGUAUUUCGGUAUGUAAAGCUCUAUCAGCAGGGAAGAAAAUGACGGUACCUGAGUAAGAAGCCCCGGCUAACUACGUG
rnacentral:rRNA from 1 species